rnacentral:misc_RNA from 1 species
UCAAAACAGCGGAUUUCGGUCCUUGCUGCACCCUUGUCUUUUGCGCACCGUAUUGUUUCCUCGGCGGGCUUGCCUGCCGGUUGGACAUUAUCAAAACCUUUUUGUAGUUGCAAUCAGCGUCAGAAAAACAAUAAUUAUUA